rnacentral:rRNA from 1 species
UUGAACGCUGGCGGCAUGCUUUACACAUGCAAGUCGAACGGCAACGAGGAGAAGCUUGCUUCUCUGUCGGCGAGUGGCGAACGGGUGAGUAUAGCAUCGGAACGUGCCAAGUAGUGGGGGAUAACCAAACGAAAGUUUGGCUAAUACCGCGUAAGCUCCAAGGAGGAAAGUAGGGGACCUAAAUAAGGCCUUACGCUAUUUGAUCGGCCGAUGUCGGAUUAGCUAGUUGGUGGGGUAAUGGCUCACCAAGGCAAUGAUCCGUAGCGGGUCUGAGAGGACGAUCCGCCACACUGGGACUGAGACACGGCCCAGACUCCUACGGGAGGCAGCAGUGGGGAAUUUUGGACAAUGGGGGAAACCCUGAUCCAGCCAUGCCGCGUGUAUGAAGAAGGCCUUAGGGUUGUAAAGUACUUUUGUUAGGGAAGAAAAGCUAGUUUUUAAUAAAAAUUAGUGAUGACGGUACCUAAAGAAUAAGCACCGGCUAACUACGUG